AAACAGGCUCCAUUUGGAGCCCACAUUUUUAAAGGCAAAUAAAUU
rfam:Cariama cristata contig51828, whole genome shotgun sequence.